AGAAAAUGCGCGCAUAUGUGCGUUAGAGAACGUGGCCCAGCUGUAUGUACGUGACAUUCUCACUACUUUUGAAAGAUUCACAUUUAUUGUGAUACUUGAAGUCAGGAUCUAUAUUAAUUUAUUUACAAUGUCUGAGAUAACUGUACGAAAAGCUAGACGUGAGGACUGUGAAGCCAUUAGAGCACUCAUACAGGAAUUGGCGGACUUCGAGAAGAUGCCUGACGGUCCGCAAAAUGAUUCUAAAGCCUUAGAAAGAGAUGGCUUCGACGGGCAGCCAUUAUAUUUGUGU